GACGAACGCUGGCGGCGCGCCUAACACAUGCAAGUCGAGCGCCCCCGUAUAAGCGCUUGCGUUUUUUACGGGGGAGCGGCGAACGGGUGAGUAAUACACAGGUAAUCUGCCCUGAAGUUGGGRWWAGCCUCGCGAAAGCGGGAUUAAUACCGAAUAUCAUUAUUUUUCUCACAUGAGGAAAUAAUGAAACCUGAAAAGGGCUUCAGGAUGAGCCUAUGGCCUAUUAGCUAGUUGGUGAGGUAACAGCCCACCAAGGCGAUGAUGGGUAGCCGGCCUGAGAGGGUGUACGGCCACACUGGGACUGAGAUACGGCCCAGACUCCUACGGGAGGCAGCAGUGGGGAAUCUUGCGCAAUGGGCGAAAGCCUGACGCAGCGACGCCGCGUGGAUGAUGAAGGCCUUCGGGUUGUAAAGUCCUUUUAGUAGGAAAGAAGCCGAGCACUCAGGCGACUGAGUGCUUGAUGACGGUACCUACAGAAAAAGCCCCGGCUAACUACGUGCCAGCAGCCGCGGUAAUACGUAGGGGGCAAGCGUUGUCCGGAUUUACUGGGCGUAAAGCGCACGCAGGCGGUGCGCUAAGUCAGAUGUGAAAACCCUGAGCUCAACUCAGGGCCUGCAUUUGAAACUGGCGUACUGGAGUCUAGCAUGGGAAAGUGGAACUCUCGGUGUAGCGGUGAAAUGCGUAGAUAUCGAGAGGAACACCAGUGGCGAAGGCGGCUUUCUGGGCUAUGACUGACGCUAAGGUGCGAAAGCCAGGGGAGCGAACAGGAUUAGAUACCCUGGUAGUCCUGGCUGUAAACUUUGGGCACUAGGUGUUGGGAGCUAUAAAUGCUUUCAGUGCUGCAGCUAACGCAUUAAGUGCCCCGCCUGGGGAGUACGACCGCAAGGUUAAAACUCAAAGGAAUUGACGGGGGCCCGCACAAGCGGUGGAGCAUGUGGCUUAAUUCGAUGCAACGCGAAGAACCUUACCAGGGCUUGACAUGUAAGGAAAAGCUCCGGAAACGGGGUGUGCCGCAAGGCGCCUUACACAGGUGGUGCAUGGUUGUCGUCAGCUCGUGUCGUGAGAUGUUGGGUUAAGUCCCGCAACGAGCGCAACCCUUACGCUAUGUUGCCAGCAGUUCGGCUGGGCACUCAUAGUGGACUGCCCCGGUCAACGGGGAGGAAGGUGGGGAUGACGUCAAAUCAUCAUGCCCUUUAUGUCCUGGGCUGCACACGUGCUACAAUGGUCGGUACAAUAGGCUGCGAUGGGGUGACCCGGAGCGAAUCCAUUAAAACCGGGCCUCAGUUCGGAUUGAAGGCUGCAACUCGCCUUCAUGAAGUUGGAAUCGCUAGUAAUCGCGGAUCAGCAUGCCGCGGUGAAUACGUUCCCGGGCCUUGUACACACCGCCCGUCACACCACCCGAGUUGUUUGCACCCGAAGUCGCUGGCCUAACCUCGAUUUAUCGAGGAGGGAGGCGCCGAAGGUGUGAGGAGUAAGGGGGGUG
rnacentral:rRNA from 1 species